CACUGUUUAUUACCACUCAGUCAGCGCCACACAAAUACACACGGGUGUGUCUGCCCUAUAGUGGAUGCUGGCAGGCACUGUUUAUUACCACUCAGGAAGAGCCACACAAAUACACACGGGUGUGUCUGCCCUCUAGUGGAUCCUGGCCACCACUGGGAGCAAAUGUGACUGUAAACAAAAUUAAAGAUUUAAAAAAUACCCAUUAUCUCCAGAAGGGAUUUAAUUCUAACAGGAGGCUUUUUUGUUUUCUUUUUCAAAUGGGCUGAUGGGUAAAAAUAAUACAAGACUGGAGAUGUUGGAAAAAAGCACACUGCGUUUGCCUUUCGGCAUCUGUGAUGACUGAAUCCUUCCUCAGCGCUGCCACAGGGAGCCCAUUCACACUUGUGUCACAGAAAUACCAGGGUUAGAUCAAAAAACCAAGUGUUACCUGGAGGAAGCCACAAAGGCUAUGAGACUAAGCCUCACCUAGAAGACACUUGACAGUUCAGAAGCUGAGAUUCUGCGAGGUGUCUCGAAGAGCUCAGCUGUGACCCUGCACUGUAUGGAAGGGUGGGCAGUGGGGCCCAGGCAGGUGAAGAGAAUUGUCCACUGUUGAGCAUCAUCAGCCUAAAACCCACAUGUAAUGCUGUUGCUGCAAAACUACCGACUGUUGAAGACACAAACCACAGAAACAGAAUCCCUUUAUGGUCUCACUGUGCAACUGAUGACUUUUCAGAAGAUGAAGAUUAAACAUAUUAAUCAUAAAUUCAAAGUAUCAGAAGAAACACUAGGGAUUUUUUAACCUCUGCUAUCAUGACUUUUUUUUUUUUGCAAGAUUCUUGAAUUAUUGUAAAUAAGCUCACAGAGGCCAAAGUGCUCCCCUGAAGUCAUCCAGAAAGAGGCAGGCUGCUAAUCCCCACAUCUGACACAUCUGUGUUUUCUUAGGAUAAUACAAAAAUUAAAGAUAAGGGAGAGAGAGAGGGACAGAAAGAGACAGAGAGACAGAGAGAAUUGGAGCUAAGAGAAAACACUUUCAUGUUUUGACACCCAAAAUUCCCAGUGAACAUUCCCGUUGCCAGCGGAUGAAAUCCAAGGCCCUGGCUCCAGGAUCCUGCUCUUUCCUUUGUUGAUUCCUGUUCAAAUUUGGCAUAGAAACAAUAUGGAACUUGUUACACUUCUCUGGGUUAGUCAUUAUGCUUUUGGCUCAUAGGCUCCACUUCCCCAGACAUCCCUGUAUCCUAAACUUCAAGUAAUUCAGCUUCACCCUUCGGAGAACAGCUCAGCUGUCACUUCUUCUAAGGACCCUCCCAAGCCACUUCUCCAGCAAAAGGGCCCCCACCUUGUUCUUUGCACCUCUGUCCCUCGAGGUGCUGCUGUCGUUUGUGGAGGGUGGGACCCCGGGGACUAGAGCCCCUCUCAUGCUGGAGACACUCGGCACUCAGUAAGUGUGUGCUGAGCGGAUACAAGUGCAGCAAGCUUGCACAGUCUUACAAUGUGUGCUCUCAUGUCUGGAAUAGAGCCCCAUUUUCAUUCUUUGUAAAAUGAGUAAGUGGGGCUGGGUGACCCAUACUCUCUUUUCAACUCAGAAGUCCACUAUGAGCCUGACAUCAAAUAGCUUCCCAGCCAGUGCCAGGCCAGGACCCAGAUUGUUCAAUGUGCCUGUGUCCCCCACAGCAUGGGGAAAGCAUGGAGAAAUGGGACCAGCUCUGCUGCCUGCUGCCCAGUACCAGCCAGCAACUCCAGGCUCACAAAGCCAAGGCACCUGCAGGAGAUCUUGGUUAUUUAGUAGCUGUGAUUGGGCUGGGAGGGGAGUGUGUUCACUUCUAAUUUUCCAGUGACUAGCAUGAGACAGUUUGAAAUGUGAUUUUUUCUCUUGGUCCAAAAAAAAAAAAAAAAAAA
ensembl:lncRNA